GAGAGAGAGGGACAAUUUGUUGCAACACUGCCAAUAUUCUUCUGUCAGUUCAUGCAGUGUGAUAGCUGACAAUGAACCAGCAUAUAUAUUGUUCCAUAGAGAAGUGCAUUCUUUGGAACAAGAACACACAACUAGAUGACUCACAUUCAGCAAGAUUUAUAAUGAAAAGUUCAACAAUCAUAUCCCUGCCAGUUUCCCUGUCAUAACCAUCAUCUUGCAGGUGCUGAGAUGCUGUCUGCUGCCUUAUGUGACUGCUGUAAUACAUCACCCAACCACGGAAAACACAGUUACAUUAUAUAUCCCCAAGAAUGCUCACAAUGCUGUCCACUAAUGGUGUAAGCAGCUGGACCACUGCUCAGAAUGACAGGCACAUGUUUCAAUCCAUGACCCUCUGAGCAAAUUGUGGGACUUAGUGAAGUGCCAGACUACAGACCCAAGGUCUGGGGUUCAAUCCUAAUGCAUAUGUUUAUUAAUAUGAGGUGAUAAUUAGGAAACAGAUGUCAAGACGUAAAACAAACUGCUGUUAUAUUUUAACCAUAACAUGUAGGAGAUAAAUAUUUGUGAUACAUAGUAGUGUGACAUACACUGACCUGAAAUGCUAGUAAUUGUAUGAUAACAUACUGCAUUAAAACACAGUUUUCCAGUAUGUAAACCCUUCUUUUGUGACAGAAUUCUCAAAUAAAAUUUUCGGUUUCCUUGCCAUGUCAAGAGACAGAGAUAAUGAGCUUUCAGUCAGUUCCCUCAUAGUCAGGAGCUGACUGCCUUAACUAGUCUAGCAGAGAUGUUUUGUAUGUAAUUAUUAAACAUAAAAGACUACCACAGUAUGAGUUGUGACAGGUACCCCUAGCUGACAACAGAGAAGUUGCUGAAAUCCAGUUUCAGUUUAUUGAGCACCCGUUUUAUCAUGUACAAUGAUGUGGGAUUUGUCAUAUGUUACAUACAGAAA